rnacentral:rRNA from 1 species
GGCUAACUACGUGCCAGCAGCCGCGGUAACACGUAGGGGGCGAGCGUUGUCCGAAGUUACUGGGCGUAAAGCGCGCGUAGGCGGUCCUUUAAGUCUGGUGUGAAAGGUUCACGGCUCAACCGGAACAGUGCACUGGAUACUGGGGGACUUGAGUCUGGAAGAGGAAAGCGGAAUUCCUGGUGUAGCGGUGAAAUGCGUAGAUAUCAGGAGGAACACCGAUGGCGAAGGCAGCUUUCUGGUCUAAGACUGACGCUGAGGUGCGAAAGCGUGGGGAGCGAACGGGAUUAGAUACCCCGGUAGUCCACGCCGUAAACGAUGAGUGCUAGGUGUUCGGGGUAUCGACCCCCCGGGUGCCGUCGCUAACGCAUUAAGCACUCCGCCUGGGGAGUACGGCCGCAAGGUUGAAACUCAAAGGAAUUGACGGGGGCCCGCACAAGCGGUGGAGCAUGUGGUUUAAUUCGUCACUAACCGAAGAACCUUACCCAGGCUUGACAUCGCGUGUAAGGCUGUGAAAGCAGUCCCCUCUCGCAAGAGAGCACAAAGACAGGUGUUGCA